rnacentral:tRNA from 1 species
GGGGCUUUAGUUUAAAUAAAAUAUGUGCUUUGCAAGCUCAAGAUUAUAGCUCUA